rnacentral:tRNA from 1 species
UCCCUGGUGGCUCAGACGGUAAAGCAUCUGCCUGCAAUGCGGGAGACCCAGGUUCGAUCCCUGGGUUGGGAA